GGGGAAUUUUGGACAAUGGGGGCAACCCUGAUCCAGCCAUGCCGCGUGUAUGAAGAAGGCCUUAGGGUUGUAAAGUACUUUUGUUAGGGAAGAAAAGUCAGCUGUGAAUAAUGGCUGAUACUGACGGUACCUAAAGAAUAAGCACCGGCUAACUACGUGCCAGCAGCCGCGGUAAUACGUAGGGUGCGAGCGUUAAUCGGAAUUAUUGGGCGUAAAGCGAGUGUAGACGGUUAUUUAAGCCAGAUGUGAAAUACCCGAGCCUAACUUGGGAGGUGCAUAUGGAACUGGGUAGCUAGAGUGUGUCAGAGGGAGGUAGAACUCCACGUGUAGCAGUGAAAUGCGUAGAGAUGUGGAAGAAUACCGAUGGCGAAGGCAGCCUCCUGGGAUAACACUGACGUUGAGGCUCGAAAGCGUGGGGAGCAAACAGGAUUAGAUACCCUGGUAGUCCACGCCCUAAACGAUGACAAUUAGCUGUUGGCCCCAUUAAGGGGUGAGUAGCGAAGCUAACGCGUGAAAUUGUCCGCCUGGGGAGUACGGUCGCAAGAUUA
rnacentral:rRNA from 1 species